AUUGAACGCUAGCGGGAUGCCUUACACAUGCAAGUCGAACGGAGUGGCGAACGGGUGAGUAAUGUAUAGGAAAGGGCCCAGUAGCGGGGGAUAACUACGAGAAAGCGUAGCUAAUACCGCAUACUAUUGGAACGGCAGAUAUCGGAUUAGCUCGUUGGUGGGGUAACGGCUCACCAAGGCGACGAUCCGUAGCUGGUUUGAGAGGACGAGCAGCCACACUGGGACUUAGACACGGCCCAGACGCCUACGGGAGGCAGCAGUGGGGAAUUUUGGACAAUGGGGGAAACGCUGACCGAGCAAUGCCGCGUGUGUGAAGAAGGUUUUCGGAUCGUAAAGCUCUUUUGGUAGAGAAGCGGUAUCUAACCAGAAAGCACCGGCUAACUACGUGCCAGCAGCCGCGGUAAUAC
rnacentral:rRNA from 1 species